CCCUACGGGGCGCAGCAGUGGGGGAUAUUGCACAAUGGGGGAAACCCUGAUGCAGCGACGCCGCGUGUGGGAAGACGGUCCUCUGGAUUGUAAACCACUGUCCCCAGGGACGAAGAUGACGGUACCUGUCGAAUAAGCCACGGCUAACUACGUGCCAGCAGCCGCGGUAAUACGUAGGUGGCAAGCGUUGUCCGGAUUUACUGGGUGUAAAGGGCGUGUAGCCGGGCUGACAAGUCAGAUGUGAAAUCCGGGGGCUCAACCCCCGAACUGCAUUUGAAACUGUUGGUCUUGAGUAUCGGAGAGGC
rnacentral:rRNA from 1 species